CUCUUUUUUUUAUUUCAAACUGACAAAAGAGAUAAAAGACACAAUUUACAUAAUUACAUUUAUAAAGCUGAAAUAAUAAAAUAGUCAUCAUGAUAUUACAAGUUUGGCGUGAGAUCAAUGCAUGGGUCUUAAUUAAGCUUAUUUAAAAUGAGAAUGUUUGGACAAUUUCCAAGCACGCCAGCUCAUUUUCUUACAGAUUACAAUCACUGAAACUUCAUACACAUUGUGAAAGGAAAAAGGAGAAUAAGUGGUUUUGUCACUAAAUCAUAUCCUGAAAUUGGUAAACAAAGGAUAGCAG